GAUGAACGCUGGCGGCGUGCCUAAUACAUGCAAGUCGAGCGAACGGACGAGAAGCUUGCUUCUCUGAUGUUAGCGGCGGACGGGUGAGUAACACGUGGAUAACCUACCUAUAAGACUGGGAUAACUUUGGGAAACCGGAGCUAAUACCGGAUAAUAUUUUGAACCGCAUGGUUCAAAAGUGAAAGACGGUCUUGCUGUCACUUAUAGAUGGAUCCGCGCUGCAUUAGCUAGUUGGUAAGGUAACGGCUUACCAAGGCAACGAUGCAUAGCCGACCUGAGAGGGUGAACGGCCACACUGGAACUGAGACACGGUCCAGACUCCUACGAGAGGCAGCAGUAGGGAAUCUUCCGCAAUGGGCGAAAGCCUGACGGAGCAACGCCGCGUGAGUGAUGAAGGUCUUCGGAUCGUAAAACUCUGUUAUUAGGGAAGAACAUAUGUGUAAGUAACUGUGCACAUCUUGACGGUACCUAAUCAGAAAGCCACGGCUAACUACGUG
rnacentral:rRNA from 1 species